GAUGAACGCUGGCGGCGUGCCUAAUACAUGCAAGUCGAGCGAACAGACGAGGAGCUUGCUCCUCUGACGUUAGCGGCGGACGGGUGAGUAACACGUGGAUAACCUACCUAUAAGACUGGGAUAACUUCGGGAAACCGGAGCUAAUACCGGAUAAUAUAUUGAACCGCAUGGUUCAAUAGUGAAAGACGGUUUUGCUGUCACUUAUAGAUGGAUCCGCGCCGCAUUAGCUAGUUGGUAAGGUAACGGCUUACCAAGGCAACGAUGCCUAGCCGACCUGGGAGGGGGUCGGCGCCCUGAGAAACUGACACGCGGCCCAGGCCCCUAGGGGAGGCAGCGAGAGGGAAUGUUCGGAAAAGGGCGAAAGCUUGACGGAUCAGCGGCGGGUGGGUGAAGAAGCGCUUCGGAUGGGAAAACGCUGUUAUUGGGGAAAAACAAAUGUGUAAGUAACGAUGCGCGUCUGGAGGGAACCGAAAAAGAAAGCCACGGUUAACUAGGG
rnacentral:rRNA from 1 species